rnacentral:lncRNA from 1 species
GAUAUUAUCUUAUACUCAUAAUAUUUAUUUAUGUGAAAAGUUAAAUAUUAAACACCAAUAUUUUGAACUAGUGGGAUAUUGUUAGUAGUUUAGAAUGUGAUAUAUCUCACAUUGGAUAGAAAUAUUUAAUUAUUGAUAAAUAAAAUUAAUUUUUGUAUUAAUUUUAUUAAUAUUUUAAAUAAUUAUAUUUAAACAGAAACAAUUAUUAUAGACAAAUAGUCAUAAUUAUUUGAAUAUAAAUAGAUUAUUAUUUAUAAAUGUCAUGAUUAUAUAAAAAAUCAUAAUCAUUUAAAUAAAAAUUUAUUCGUUCAUUAUAAAUAUAUCUUUCAAUACAAUCAUUUUUACUAUUUCUAUUUGAAGAGUUUUAAAAUUUUGUUAUAUCAUAAAAAUAUAAUUAUCUUUAAAAAAAUAUUCUUCAGUUAUAAAGCCAAUAUAUUUUUUUAUUAUUUCCCAUCUCUUAUUUAUAUUUUCUAACAUUUUCUAUUCAGGUACGAAACUUUCACAAAUCCGAUCCCUUACUUUUUUUGAAAGAGCUAAAGUUAAAGUUCUUGAGCUCUUUCUUCUAUAGCCUAAAGAGAAAGGCAACUCAUUGCAAAUUUCUUAAGCACCGGUGAUGUUGACAAUUUGGGCAAAGAUCUCAGGGUACAGGAAAUAGGUAGCAAACAUAACAGCCAAUUAAUUCAUCUAACACUUGGAAUGUAUUUCUUGGUUCCUCACAUGUAAUGAGCAGUAAUAAUGAAUUUAAUAGCUAUCACGUAAUAUGAAUUUUACACAUAGUGAUAGUGAACUUAUCAUAUUACUUGCAUUUCACAUGUAAAUAUAACAAACCUAUCAUAAGGAGAUUAAUAAAUAAUGCAGCACCUGCUUUGAUUCAAAUAUUAAAUGUGAGAAUGAACAUUUAAUUCAAAAUGAAUUGACAACAAAUAAAGCUACUCAUACUUUACUUAUAUGUUAGGGAUAUCUCAAAUUUUAACAUGUGAAUUUUUUUAUCACUGCUUUAAUAAAACCAUCUUAGCUAAUUAAGUUUGAACAUUUGAAGUUUAUUGUUGGACACAUGAAAUCCACGUCAGAAAAGAAUGAAAAAUCAUACCAACAUUAAAAAAAAAAAAAAUUGUCAAAAUUCAACAACUUUUAGCAAGGAAAAACCGGAAUCUUCUCUCUCAAGUACUGGGUUCUUUUCUUUCCAGUCUCCUUUUUUAACGUGGAAUGAAAUAUUUAAAAAUUUGAAUCCAUUUCCUUGUAUAAAGAAGAAAUCAUAAACUUUUAAACUUAAAACCAAAACCUAAAUUUAUAGAGAGAUUUGGGAUGGGGAAAAAGAGGAAGGGAAGGAUCUCAUAACGUACUGAUUUAACAAAAUUUGCAGAGCACUUUUUGGUUGAAAAGUGAAUGGGCAAUCAAAUCACAAUAAAAGAUUAAGGAAACUUUGUUGGAUUUUCAAAGAGAGUUGUGAAGAUAAUUAAAAUCGUCGCCUGAAUAAUUGUUUUCUUUUCAAAUAUUUGUGUUUUCUCCCUUUCUUUUGUUGGCAAAAGAAAAGAAAAAAAAUUUUGGAAGAAAUAUGAAUUUGGUUACAGGGGAGAAAAGGGAGAGGGAAG